AGCCCGGCCCUGCCGGCUGGAGAGGAUCCGAAUAGUGUACGCGUUUUGGCUUGCAGGGUUUUUAAUUGUCACCGAGUGGGGUUUACUGUAGGCUGUCAAAUCAGGAGUCGUAUUUUGUUGAGUCGAAAGUGAAAUUUACCUUCGGCCGACGUGACAGCAUUGUGGCCUUCUCAUCCCCAUAAAUUGCAUUUCUUUACAGGGCUUUGUUUGGUGGUAGAAAGGGUGCCAGAACCCCCUCAUUCCACUACCACGGGAGGGCGCAUUUUUCAGCUCUUGCUCUUAAACCCGCUAAAAGGAAUUCCUGGAUCUAAGCACCAGGUACACCGCUCUUUUCAAGUGGUGUGAAGCGAAAACCUAUCUAAAGAUAGGAAAUACAUUGAUCUGCAGUGUCAGACUGGCAGCUAGUAGUAUGAUGUUUUAUUAACUCUAAACCCUAUAUUUUCAGUGUUUUUUUUUUAACAUAAAAAUGUCAUUUUUCAAAUCGUCAUGCCUUGUUUCUUUCGAAAUGAGAGUGCCAGGUACACAUGCUUAUGGAGUGGUCUCGUAAAUGUCUUGAACCUAAAAAGCGCAGGGUCCAGUUAGCUGAUUGAUUCAUACACCCCUCCAACUGCAGGUCUCCCCAGCCUCCCUUAAAGAAAGAAAAAAAAAUCAAUAUGCAUCUUCUAUGUGCCCGACCCCACUCCUUAGUACUGCUCUCCAAAGCAUUGCCUAAGCUAGAAGGAGGAAGCUGAGAGGAAUCUGAAACUCUGGGUUUCACCCACACAUGUCCUGCAGUCAAGUCCUGUCACUCUAUUUAUAGAAUAUUUCUCAAAUAGGUCCCUGCUCUCCAUCCUCUCUGCCUCUGACAUAGUUUAUGUUCUCAUCAUUUUUCACCAAGAUCAUGGCAAUAGCUUCCUAACUAGUUUGUCUGCAUUCAGGGCAUGGCUUCCUUCCAGUUCAGUCUCCAGUCUAUGCCUGGGUGAGCCUACCAAUGACAAAACAUCUAUGCAUGUUGGUCCUCUUCUUAAUAUCUUCCAAUUGUUGCCGAUUCUCACCAUGAUAAAAUCCAAACUCCUUAGGUUGGUAUACAGGCCUGUUGUGUUCUGACUCUUGCCUAUUUUUCUAGCUUCUGCCUCCCCCGUGUACUUCUGAUACCUGCCUGGAUAUAUCCUUCCCUCCCUCCACUUCUUCAAGGAAACUCUUGCUAGUUCCUUAAGACCUAAUUCUGGCAUCUUCUGAAAGCUUUCCCUGAAAUCCAGAUACAUAGGUAUAUGCUAGCACUUUGCAGGUGUUAAUAAGUGGGAAGCUCUCAGUAAAUGCUUGUUGAAGUGGACUAUUAAGGGCACAGCUAUUUUAUUCAUUUUUAUGUCUCUGUGGCUUAGCAGUGUCCAAUAAAGGUGGUAUUGAUGGAUACAUGAAGAAAAUAUUAAAGGAUAUAUGAAUAUUAUGCUGAGGAGGAGAGGUUCUUUUUGCAGCUGUAAGUACAGUGGGAUUGUAGAUAACCCAUAUCACAAAGGCUGCCGUGCAGUUUCCUUUCCUAGGGCCAGGGUUAUAAGCCUGGGUGACUUGGAGAGUGGGGGAGAUCAUGCUGCCAAAAAUACUGUACACAAAGCAUUGUCCUCUGCUUCAAAACCAGACACUUGACAUUUUGCUUCAGCCAUUUUCCAUGGGGCAUUUUGUUGCAGCCUAAGAAAAGUAACCGAUAAAUGCUCAGCAUUUUUAUUGCCAAGUAAUAUGUGCAAAGAACUUCACUCAGUCCCUCAGCCUCACUCCUCCCUGAGCCUCUCCUCACCUCCUCCCUGGACCUCACUCUACCCCAUUAUCAGGGAUACAACUCUGAGAUGGAGUGGGGCUUAUGGGUGUCUCUUAACAUGCAUUAUUUGGUAAUAAAAAGCACCUUGACAUUUUAGCAGAAUUGUUUUAAGUCACCUGCCUUUUCAAAAUGCCCUGCUUUGUUUUAAAUUUUGAGUGUAGUAAGUCACUAACAGUGUACUGAGUCUUCCCGUCAUUUGACCUGUUUUUCUUCUCUAGUCCCCCCCUGGUUAGGAAGGAUGGAUGGUUUGGUACAGAGGAGAUGAGUGUGGAGCCCCCAGACUUCCCCUUGACCUCAUAGUCUUGCCUUUCUCCUGAUGUCUGAGAAAAGAUGGAGCUACUCGAUGCUUCCAGGGUCAAGAAGAGGCAGAGAGGGUACAGUGGCUAAUUUUUCUCCCAGUUGGGGGUCUGAAAGGGGAGCAGAGACAUCAUUACAGAGCAGCCAUGGAAGGGACUCCAAAGAGAAAGGAGAUUAUAUGCAAAUCCACUUCCAGUGAUUUUUUAUAAAGAAAAGUCAGGGACCGUGUCUUAUUCCUAUUUGUACCCUUUAAUCAUCUAGCAUAAUUCCUUUAAUAUGGCAAAUGCUCAAGAACCAUUUCUUAAAUAAAGGAAGAGAAAAAGUGAAAAAAAAAAUGUGACUGCCUGACUUAAUGCCAUUAUACUUCUCACUUGCAUAAAUCUAUAAACAUUCAGUAUAAGAAUGCCAUGAGGAAGUUCCUUUGUGGUGCAGUGGGUUAAGGAUCUGGUGUUGCUGCAGCCGUGGUGCAGGCUGAAACUGCAGCACAGGUUCGAUCCCUGGCCUGGGAACUUCCACAUGCCACAGGCACUGCCAAAAAAAGGAAUGCCAUUAUAUAGUUCAAAAUCGCAGAGUUCCUGCUAAGGCACAGAGGGUUAAUGAUCUGGCCUGUCUCUGUGGCAUUGCCAGUUCCAUCCCCAGCCUGGCACAGUGGGUUAAAGAGCUAGCAUUGCUACAGAUGUGGCUUGGAUAUGAUCCCUGGCCCAGGAACUUCCAUAUGCUGGGGGUGCAGCCAAAAAGGGGGAAAAAAGGAGAGAGAGAAAAGUUACAGAGUUCCCAUUGUGGCUCAGUGGGUUAAGAACCUGGCUAGUGUCCAUGAGGAUAUGGGUUUGAUCUCUGGUCCCACUCAGUGGGUUAAGGAUCUGGAAUUGCUGCAAACUGCAGUGUAGGUCGCCGAUACAGUUCGGAUCUGGCCUUGCUGUGGCUAUGGAGUAGACCAUCAGCUGCAGCUCUGAUUCGACCCCUAGCCUGAGAAUUUCCAUAUGCUGCAAGUGCGGCCCUAAAAAAAAGGAAACAACAACAACAACAA
rnacentral:tRNA from 1 species